UACGGAGGAUGCAAGCGUUAUCCGGAUUCAUUGGGUUUAAAGGGUGCGUAGGCGGACUAUUAAGUCAGUGGUGAAAGCCUGCAGCUUAACUGCAGAACUGCCAUUGAUACUGAUAGUCUUGAGUUUGGUUAAGGUAGGCGGAAUGUGUAAUGUAGCGGUGAAAUGCUUAGAUAUUACACAGAACACCAAUUGCGUAGGCAGCUUACUGAAAGCGACACUGACGCUGAGGCACGAAAGACGUGGGGAGUCGAACA
rnacentral:rRNA from 1 species